ACCGUGACUCUACUCGGUCGAUAACUUCCCGGUAGGGUAACUUACCCCCCUUACGCCCUACACGGGAAAGCGAGGGAUCGUAACACCUUGCCCUAUAAAAACGGCCGAUAUCGAAUUAGCUCCUUGGUGGGGUAACUGCUCAGCGGGGCAACGGUCCCUAUCUGGUUUGAGAGGACGACCGUCCACACUGGGACUGAGACACGGCCCAGACUCCAACCGGAGGCGACGGUGGGGAAUUGUGGAAUUGGGGAAAAACCCUGAUCCGGCCCUCCCCCGAGCGCGAGGAGGGCCUUGGGGUUGGAAAGCACUUUUGGUUUGAAAGAAACGUACCGGGUUAAUACCCCGGGAAACUGGGGGUACCUGCACAAGAAGAAUCGGCUCACUCCGUGUCCGUGCCCGCAGUGGUGCUUAUGGUGCAGGCGUUAACCGGACUUACAGGGCGUGAAGGUUGCGCAUGCGGUUCGGAAAGAAAAAUUUGGAUUCCCACACCUUGACUUUGGAACUGCAUUUUUAACUACCGAUGGGAACGUGUCAGAGGUAGGUGGAAUUCCGCUUGUAGGUGUAAAAUGCGAAAUAUAUGCGAGAGGAACACCGAUAGCUAAGGCGACCUCCUCUGACUGUACUGACGCUCAUGCUGAAGCACG
rnacentral:rRNA from 1 species